rnacentral:sRNA from 1 species
AGCAGCCGCGGUAAUUCCAGCUCCAAUAGCGUAUAUUAAAGUUGCUGCAGUUAAAAAGCUCGUAGUUGAAUUUCGGGACUAAUAUGUCGGUCGUGCCUCGGUACGUACUGGUUUAUUGGUUUCUCCUUUCUGAAGAACCAUGAUGUCAUUUAUUUGGUGUCGUGGGGAAUCAGGACUGUUACUUUGAAAAAUUAGAGUGUUUAAAGCAGGCUCACGCUUGAAUACAUUAGCAUGGAAUAAUGAAAUAGGACGUUUGAUUCUAUUUUGUUGGUUUCUAGGAUCGACGUAAUGAUUAAUAGGGAUAGUUGGGGGCAUUAGUAUUCAAUUGUCAGAGGUGAAAUUCUUGGAUUUAUUGAAGACUAACUACUGCGAAAGCAUUUGCCAAGGAUGUUUUCAUUAAUCAAGAACGAAAGUUAGGGGAUCGAAGACGAUCAGAUACCGUCGUAGUCUUAACCAUAAACUAUGCCGACUAGGGAUCGGAUGAUGUUAAUUUUUUAAUGUACUCAUUCGGCGCCUUAAC